rnacentral:rRNA from 1 species
UAUCUCUGUAGAGUCUGCAUAUCAAUAAGCGGAGGAAAAGAAACUAACAAGGAUUCCCUUAGUAACGGCGAGUGAAGCGGGAAGAGCUCAAAUUUGAAAUCUUCAAGGUUCUACCUUGACGAAUUGUAGUUUAAAGAAGUGUUUUCUGUUAGAUGAGUAGCAAAAGUUCCUUGGAAUGGGACAUCAUAGAGGGUGAGAAUCCCGUAUUUGGUUAUUCAUUCUAGCUUUGUGAUACACUUUCAAAGAGUCGGAUUGUUUGGGAAUGCAGUCCAAAAUGGGUGGUAAAUUUCAUCUAAAGCUAAAUAUUGGCGAGAGACCGAUAGCGAACAAGUACCGUGAGGGAAAGAUGAAAAGAACUUUGAAAAGAGAGUUAAACAGUACGUGAAAUUGUCAAAAGGGAAGCGUUUGACACCAGUGUUGUUUUUCCGAAAAUCAAUUACGAAUGGCUUGAUUUUGUGUUGUAUUGACCUUAUCAGCUUUCUGCACUUUUUUCGAGUCUUUCUUAAUGCACUUUUCGGUUAACAAGUCAACAUCAAUUUCUUUUGUUGUAAAAGAGUAUUCGGAAGGUGGCUUUCUUUUCGGAGAAAGUGUUUAUAGCCCUAUACUUCUACAAUCGGAGAGAUUGAGGUCUGCAGCGUAGAUCCUUCGGGGUUAGAUACAUUUGUGCUAAGUUGUAGCUUUUCAUAGACAACUUGUUGACUAUGUUUAGUCAUGCGGCUUACUCGCUUAUGCUAUUUUACCUACGCUUAGGAUGUUGACUGAUAUGUAGUCGUA